CUUCUAAUGAUGAUACCCUUGUCCAGUUCUGCUACUGAAAGGAGAGCGAUGACACUUGUAUGAUGCUGAGGAAG